rnacentral:rRNA from 1 species
GAUGAACGCUGGCGGCGUGCUUAACACAUGCAAGUCGAACGGAGUUACAUGAAACCUAGUGAUUGUAACUUAGUGGCGGACGGGUGAGUAACGCGUGGGUAACCUGGCGUAUACAGGGGGAUAACACUUAGAAAUAGGUGCUAAUACCGCAUAAGCGCACGAAUUCGCAUGAAUUUGUGUGAAAAACUAAGGUGGUAUACGAUGGACCCGCGUCUGAUUAGCUAGUUGGUGAGGUAACGGCCCACCAAGGCGACGAUCAGUAGCCGGCCUGAGAGGGUGAACGGCCACAUUGGGACUGAGACACGGCCCAAACUCCUACGGGAGGCAGCAGUGGGGAAUAUUGGACAAUGGGGGAAACCCUGAUCCAGCGACGCCGCGUGAGUGAAGAAGUAUUUCGGUAUGUAAAGUUCUAUCAGCAGGGAAGAUAAUGACGGUACCUGACUAAGAAGCACCGGCUAAAUACGUG